AACGAACGCUGGCGGCAUGCCUUACACAUGCAAGUCGAACGAGACCUUCCGGUCUAGUGGCGCACGGGUGCGUAACGCGUGGGAACCUGCCCGUAGGUUCGGAAUAACUCGCCGAAAGGGGUGCUAAUACCGGAUAAUGUCUCCUGACCAAAGAUUUAUCGCCUGUGGAUGGGCCCGCGUUGGUUUAGCUAGUUGGUAGGGUAAAGGCCUACCAAGGCGACGAUCCAUAGCUGGGCUGAGAGGAUGAUCAGCGACACUGGGACUGAGACACGGCCCGGACUCCUACGGGAGGGAGGAGUGGGGAAUAUUGGACAAUGGGCGAAAGCCUGAUCCAGCAAUGCCGCGUGAGUGAUGAAGGCAUUAGGGUUGUAAAGCUCUUUUACCCGGGAUGAUAAUGACAGUACCGGGAGAAUAAGCUCCGGCUAACUCCGUG
rnacentral:rRNA from 1 species